AACAAAGGUAAAGAUAUUUAACGGCAGUGUUCUAUGCAGAUACGGUCACAGUCCAGCCACCCACCGCCCUCACUGGGUUGACAGACUUCAAAAGCUGCUCGCAGUUUGGCGUCCUGGUUGUUGCUUCUCUCCGUGGUACAGCGCCAUCGAACCCAGGAAGCUGUCACAGUUGAAGACACCAUUUACCUGAAAUGAAAAGCAUGUGAUGAAAAAAUAAAGUUGCAUGAGGACACACCAGCACGGUUGACAGCGCCGGUGGCGGACGUUGUUACCCCGGGCCACGACUGAUCUGGUAUGGAAUUCUUUGGAUGAAC